AGUGGUAAAAACUUCGCUUUUUGGUAUGUUGCACAAACAGCCCCCACUGCCAAGUGAGUCAGAACUUCCGAACAGCAUAAUUUUAGUGCCCUUCUUGUGGUUCUCUCUCUGGGCUGCUUCUGAAAGGAAGGUCUCAGGGCGGGGUUUCCUGUGUUCAAUUCCAGAGAUGACAAAGGGGCUUUUCCCCCAAUCCUUUGCCAGAUUUUUUUUCCAGAUAGGUUUUCAUGUCCACCCCCUUCUGUAGCUGCAGGUAAUGCUGAGGACUAAGGCACUGUGGACUUCCUAGUUGCAAACUGCCCCAUCCCUUCGUAUUGCUCACUCAACUUCUGUUUUUCUUCCAUAUGGACUACUUUGGAGAGGAAAAAGACUGGCAUCAAAUAAAAAAUAGGGUUCUGUUUUUGAUGUAAUGUUUAUGUCAGGCUUAAGAAAAGUAAUGGAUGGCCGGGCAUGGUGGCUCACACCUGUAAUUCCAGCACUUUGGGAGGCCAACCGGUCGGAUCUCUUGAGGUCAGGAAUUCGAGACCAGGCUGGCCAACAUGGUGAAACCCUGUCUCUACUAAAAAUACAAAAAAUUAGCUGAGCGUGGUGGUGCAUGUCUGUAGUCCCAGGUAUUCAAGUGGCUGAGGCACGAGAAUUGCUUGAAUCGGGGAGGUGGAGGUUGCAGUGAGUCAAGUUUGCACCACUGCACUCCAGCCUGGGUGAUAGCGCGAGACUCUGUCUAAGAAAAGCAAUGGAAUGGGAGAGUAUUCUGAAAAGCAGCAAGCCCUGUAAAGCCCAAGAUAAUAACAAUCACGUUGAUAAUAAUAAAACUAUCUGCACAGUAUUUUGCAUUUCAUAAAAUAUGUUUAUCACAUGUGUUUUCACCCAUGAAAAAUUGUUACUAUCCCCAUCUAACAUGAGAAAAACCAAUGUUGUAAGAGGUCACAUUCAGUGUAAGAUUACACUGUAUGUGUACACUGUAUGUGUAAGUCAGUCUUACAUUGUAAGAUUCACUCAGCUAAAUAAGUAGCAAAGCUUGACCAGGAAAGUGAAUAUCUCCCCUGCUCUGAACUGGUGCUCUGCACUGCACCAGCAGCAGGAGGGACAGUUCGUCUCUGUGCACCAUGGUGCCCUGACACAGAAUUACUACACCCCGACCUUCUUGGAGGUAGUAGUCUGUGCCUCAUUCGUCCUCGUAUUCCCAGAGGCUGGCACAUAGUAGAUACGCAGGAAUGUUUGACGAAAGACUGAAUAGCUGUGUGCCAGAAACUGCAGCAGUCAUACCAUUCCCAGAACCAUAACAUAACAGCUCACCUGAGCUGGGUGCUCAAAUACCAGGCACAAAACCAUACAAGAUAAGCUCCUAUUAUUAGAUCUAUUUAACAGAAAAGGAAACCAAGUAUGAGUAAUCAGCUGAAAGUUGCAAAUUGGGCACUUUGUCACUAGAGCCUGAGCUCCCAACUAUACUCAGCCAUCUCUUCCUGCAGGACAUGGAGUUACCGCGGCCUGCUCCACCCUCGGAGCAGCCUGGGGGAGCCAUCUCUCUCCUUGUGCAAAUCACCUGCCCGCUUUGUGCCUUGGUUUCCCUUGUCAGGCGAAACUCAUUAAACUUUUCCUAACUACCUGGAGGAUGUUUGCAGAGAUUUA
ensembl:lncRNA